AAGGUCCUUGAUAACCCUGACUCCUUGUGUUCCACUAUUCUAUGGGCCAGGUACUACCCUGAUGGCGAUCUGCUGAAUUCCAAGCCAAAGCAUGGUGCUUCUUUCACCUGGCUAAGCAUUAUGGCAGGCAUUACUACUCUGAAACGUGGCUAUAUUUGGCGAGUGGGAAAUGGACAUAACAUCAAUAUUUGGGAAGAUGCAUGGAUCCCAAAUUGUGCCACUAGGAAAAUUGUGACUCCUAGGGGGGGACAAUUGUUAUCAAGAGUGGUUGAUCUGAUUGACCCUGUUUCCAAUAAUUGGGAUGAGGACCUGAUUAGACAAACUAUUUGGCCCAUUGACGCUCAACGGAUUCUUUCAGUCCCACUUUCGCAACAUAACAUGUCAGACUUCAUUGCUUGGAGUUAUACAAAAAAUGGUAUGUUCUCGGUACGGUCUGCUUAUUCCGUGGAGUGGAAUGAUCAGUAUGGGAGUAAACUAAAACACUCUAAUGGGAUGGGGCGAACCACACCUAACCCUAUUUGGUGUCAGAUAUGGAAGUUAUCCUUUCCGGCAAAAGUCAAAAUUUUUAUAUGGCGUACGUUAUAUGGCACCCUCCCAUGCCGGGCAACACUUGCUAAUAGACACAUGAAGGUCUCGCCCCUUUGUCCUACUUGCUCUCAGGGUGUAGAAGACACGAAGCACAUACUUUUCCUAUGUACUACAGCAAAGGAGGUUUGGAAGAGGCUAGGAUUAGAUGAGAUUAUUGAUAGAGCUUGUGAGGUUGAUCGUGCUGGAGAAGCGAUACUGGAAUACCUUUUAGUUCUCCCAGAUCAAGAUUUGCGUAUUAUGGGAUACCAAAAUGUACGAGAAAUGAUAGCUAUUUCAGCUUGGUAUCUAUGGCGGGAGAGACGAAAAUUAGUGCACAAGGAAACAACUCAGAAUGCAACUCAGAUAUCAAUGGGGAUCAUAGCCCUCACAUACAAUUUUGUAAAUGCAUCAUCUUCAAAGGCGUCCAUGAAAAAGGGGGGGUUGGCAUUGUCCCCCUAG
rnacentral:rRNA from 1 species